AUUGAACGCUGGCGGCAUGCCUUACACAUGCAAGUCGAACGGCAGCACGGGAGCAAUCCUGGUGGCGAGUGGCGAACGGGUGAGUAAUAUAUCGGAACGUGCCCAGUCGUGGGGAUAACGUAGCGAAAGCUACGCUAAUACCGCAUACGAUCUAUGGAUGAAAGCGGGGGAUCGCAAGACCUCGCGCGAUUGGAGCGGCCGAUAUCAGAUUAGGUAGUUGGUGAGGUAAAGGCUCACCAAGCCGACGAUCUGUAGCUGGUCUGAGAGGACGACCAGCCACACUGGGACUGAGACACGGCCCAGACUCCUACGGGAGGCAGCAGUGGGGAAUUUUUGGACAAUGGGCGCAAGCCUGAUCCAGCAAUGCCGCGUGCAGGAUGAAGGCCUUCGGGUUGUAAAC
rnacentral:rRNA from 1 species